rnacentral:rRNA from 1 species
AUUGAACGCUGGCGGCAGGCCUAACACAUGCAAGUCGAGCGAGCGGCGGACGGGUGAGUAAUUGAUGGGAAUCUGCCCGAUAGAGGGGGAUAACUACUGGAAACGGUGGCUAAUACCGCAUACUAUCAGAUGAACCCAGAUGGGAUUAGCUUGUUGGUGGGGUAACGGCUCACCAAGGCGACGAUCCCUAGCUGGUCUGAGAGGAUGACCAGCCACACUGGGACUGAGACACGGCCCAGACUCCUACGGGAGGCAGCAGUGGGGAAUAUUGCACAAUGGGCGCAAGCCUGAUGCAGCCAUGCCGCGUGUAUGAAGAAGGCCUUAGGGUUGUAAAGUACUUUCAGCGGGGAGGCGUUACCCGCAGAAGAAGCACCGGCUAACUCCGUGCCAGCAGCCGCGGUAAUUC